rnacentral:misc_RNA from 1 species
UUUGUUAGCUAAAUGUUAGAAAAGUUAUUCAAAAGCUUUGUCUGAAUGGAAUCCGAAGGCUUCACAAGUAAAAGCAUAUAACCUUCAAUCCAUUUUGGCAAGAUUUAUUUAUAAAACAAUGAUGUCAUGCUAAUAAAGUUAGGUAGAAAGAAGAAGAAAUAUAGCAAGAAUAUGGAUGUUUCUUUUUCAAGUCAAAUUUUAACUUUGCUUAGUUUUCCUCUUUAUCUUUGUGCUUUCUUAUCUGUGGACCUCUGCUUCCUUCAAGAACAUGUAAAAGGAAAAAGAAAAAUUAAUAAAUUUGAAAUGGGCAUAUUACUUUCUAUUUAUUCAUGACCAUUCAAGGAAGACAUCACCCUUUUUAUCUAUAUUUAGUGAUAAAAGAAAGUUAUGGAUUACCUGGCUAGUUGUAUUCAUGAUGAUGUCCAAUGGUGCAUGUUAUUUAUCGAUGAUUUUGUCUUGGUGGAUGAAAUUUGUGAAGGAAUUAAUCAAAAGUUGGAGUUAUAAAGAAGGGAGCAAAGGUUUUAAGCUUAGUAAAAGUAAGAUGGAAUAUAUGUAGUGUGAGUUUAGCUCCUAUAGGAGGAAUGAAGGUGAGGUUCAUUUGGAUAGGGUUUUGGUGCUCAAAUACAAUCAGUUCAAAUAUUUAGGUUCUAUCAUACAUAAGAAUAGAGUUUUAGAUGAUGAUGUAACUCAUAGGAUCCAAACAUGAUGGAUGAAUGGUGGAGUGUGAUAGGCAUAUUAUGCGAGCCUAAGAUUCCUAACAAAGGGAAAGGUAAGUUCUAUAGGAUUAUGGUCAGACUAGCUAUAUUGUAUGGGAGUAAACGUUGGGCAUUUAAGAGACAACAUGCUCACAAGAUAGUGUGACGGAAAUGCCAAUGUUAAGAUGGACGUAUGGUGACACAAUAAUAGAUAAGAUUCAAAUGAGAAUGGCGAAAAUGCAAAUGUUGAUGGAUGUAUGAUAACACAAUAAUGGAUGAAAUUCACAAGGAUCACAUCCAUCAAAGAAGGCAUAUAGCAUAUAUUGGAGAUAAAGUGAGAGAGGAUCGAUUAAGAUGGUUUGGUCAUGUCUAACGUAGAAAAUCAAAUGUCUCGGUAUAGAAG